rnacentral:rRNA from 1 species
UAUUACCAGAAGCGACGGCAGGAUAGAAGGUCAGACUAAAGAUCUUACCUGACGAGCCGAGAGGUGGUGCAUGGCGACCGUCAGCUCGUGGUGACGAACUGUCCGGGUUAAAGUCCGGUAACGAGCGAGACCCUUAUGAAUAGUUGCAACCGGUUUAGCGAUAAACCGGGCACUCUAUUUGGACCGCCUCUGUUUAAAGGGGGAGGGAUGGGAGGGGGCGACGAUACGUCAGUAUGCCCCUGAAUCUCCUGGGGCUACACGCGGCAUACAAAGGUCGAUACAAUGAGAUGCAAUGCCG